GGCAAGAUGGCCGAGCGGUCUAAGGCGCUGUGUUCAGGUUUCCCACCUUCUAGGAGGAAGCUUCGCAGUGGAGCAAUCCGCGCGAGUUCGAAUCUCGUUCUUGUCA
rnacentral:tRNA from 1 species